UACGUAGGGUGCGAGCGUUGUCCGGAAUUACUGGGCGUAAAGAGCUCGUAGGUGGUUUGUCGCGUUGUUCGUGAAAACUCACAACUCAAUUGUGGGCGUGCGGGCGAUACGGGCAGACUGGAGUACUGCAGGGGAGACUGAAAUUCCUGGUGUAGCGGUGGAAUGCGCAGAUAUCAGGAGGAACACCGGUGGCGAAGGCGGGUCUCUGGGCAGUAACUGACGCUGAGGAGCGAAAGCGUGGGGAGCGAACAGG
rnacentral:rRNA from 1 species